AUUGAACGCUGGCGGAAUGCCUAACACAUGCAAGUCGAGCGGGGUGUAGCAAUACACCUAGCGGCGGACGGGUGAGGAACACACAGGAAUCUACCUUUUAGUGGGGAGUAGCCGGGAACCCGGAACUUAAUACCGCAUGAUCUCGCAAGAGCAAAGACGGGGGACCGGUAACGGCCUCGCGCUGAAAGAAUGAGCCUAUGUCGGAUUAGCUAGUUGGC
rnacentral:rRNA from 1 species